ACCAGAGAGAACCAGAGGAAGAAGAUACACUGAGAGUGAGAGAGAGAAUCAAAAGGCUCAUACCCAUUUCAACUUCACUGCUCCUUGUUCUAAAUUUGGUGUUCUCUGGACUUAGGGGGGAAUAUAUAUCCGAUCGCUAUGGAACCAGGUUCACAAUUUUCAUCCACCAUGUUGGAGAAACAAUCCUUUCUCAUAGCAAGGGACUUGCCAAACUCAUGUGAGCAAGAGAGUGAGUGGGUUUACAAUGCUCACCUUUUGACCGAUCUCUCAGACGAUAAGCACCCGGUAGAAGAGGGAGAAAGGAACAAGCUUUCUGGUGAUACUGAGGGAGAGGACACUGAGAUGGAUGUGGAUUGUCUUAUACCUUCACAGGACCAAGGGAAUGACCAGAAUCAUGCAGGUGUGAUGGUGGAUGAUUCAACUUUGCUCAUUCACCAGCUCGGUCGGGACAUGUCGAUCAAUUGUCUCGUCCGAUGCUCAAGGUCUGAUUAUGGCUCAAUUGCCUCGCUGAACCGGAGUUUCUGGUCUCUCAUUCGGACCGGAGAGCUGUAUAGGCUCAGGCGGCAAAUGGGUAUUGAAGAACAUUGGGUUUACUUCUCUUGUAACAUCAUUGAUUGGGAAGCAUUUGAUCCUAAUCGUGGCCGAUGGAUGAAGUUUCCCAAAAUGAAUUGGACUGAAUGCUUUAUGUGUUCAGAUAAGGAGUCCUUGGGCGUCGGUACUGAGCUUCUUGUUUUUGGAAAGGAAAUUUUGGCUCCUGUCAUUCAUAAAUAUAGUGUUUUGACUAACACUUGGUCAAGAGGUAUGGAAAUGAAUGGUCCCAGAUGCUUGUUCGGUUCAGCUAGCCUCGGAGGAAUUGCCAUAAUAGCCGGCGGUUCUGAUUUGCGCGGAAACAUCUUGAGUACAGCUGAGCUUUAUAACUCUGAUACUGGAACAUGGGAGACUCUUCCAAACAUGAACAAAGCAAGGAAAUUGUGUUCUGGUGUAUUUAUGGAUGGAAAAUUUUAUGUCCUUGGCGGGCUUGGACCUGGCCACUCAAAUCAUCUAACAUGCGCUGAGGUGUUUGAUCUUAAGACAAGAAAAUGGAGUGAAAUACCCAACAUGUUUCCUGCACGAAAUGGAGGAGUAGGGGUGAGUAGUACACCAGUCGGUGCUGGGGCACCUCCUUUGGUUGCCGUUGUAAAUAAUGUUUUGUAUGCUGCAGAUUAUGAACAGCAGGAAUUGAGGAGGUAUGUUAAACACAACAACUCCUGGGUUACCCUUGGAAGACUUCCUGAUGGUGCAGCCUCUUUGAAUGGCUGGGGAUUAGCCUUUCGGGCAUGUGGAGAUCGGCUAAUUGUUAUUGGUGGGACUGGUGCUUAUCAUGGAAGGGAGAUUGAAGUUAGUGCUUGGGUCCCAGAUGAAGGUGCACCACAGUGGAACCUGCUUGGCAGAAGGAAUUCCUAGAUUGAUCUAUGUUCAUUAUUUCCAUCAAUUACAAAGGCGAGGGUUGAUCAGGAGAGAAGCCAGGGAUUACAAUCUCAUAAGAUCCUGCGAGAGAACAAGGAAGCUGGUUUCAAAUAAAAUCAGAUUGAAAUUGGUUCAUAUACAUGACAAAUUGCAUUGAAUCGGUGCAUCAACUUGUAAUGAGUUUCAGAAAUUAGAAGACUUCUGCGAGGUGCUGCGGUUUUUCUUUACAAAACGGGGUCCAUGCUGGUAUUCACUUGAUGCAUGAGUUAUAAAGUCAAACUGCAGAGUUUCUAAUGCAUUGCUCUUGCUCAUUUCAUGGCUUAUAAUCUGCUGAAGUGGCUAGCCUUUUGCCCUAAGGACCAUGAGGAAUUCAUGACUCAGAACAGAAAAUUUCAACAAAGUUUUACUGACCCCUUGAAAAAACAAAAGAAAGUAAAGAAAAGGAAAGAAUCUUGGUCGGUUAAGUGGUGCGUUAUGUGUUCUUGAACAAGAUAAUGGUUUAACUUUGUUGGAGGACAACAUGGAAAGUACAGGUUGUACCAAAAACACAAGUAAAAGGAAAUAGAUUGUGAUGUGUUGUUGUGGCCCACCUUCAUGUGUAUCAUCGACCUAUUAGAAAACUGUUGCUGGGUCACGUGGUUGGUUGAUAUGAUCCACUUCCCUCUAUUGGAUCUUUGUAGUUUGUACUCUGUACAUGAACUUCACUUUUCUAGCCGUUUCUUCUCAUUCAGAUUCCUCGUAUGCACUGUUGUUAGAAUCCAGGAAACCGGUUAUAUACCCUUGCGGUACAUUGUAUUGUUCAUCUUCUGGCCAUUGGUUGGAAACUUUACAUUUUAGUGCUUGUUAGGUUUGGUGUUAGAGUUAACACCAUCGUAAUGUAGAAACUAAAAUUUUCUUGAGUUUAACCUGAAUUGGAGAAAUGAGAU